CACUGAUCCGUGCUGCAGCGUGGAUGAGCCAGGACACCUUUAUGAAAAAGCCACAGGGAUCUUUCAACUGGUGGACAGCGAGGAAGAAAGCAAAUGAGGAGGAAAUGAUGUUGUCAAGAGCCACAUCCUGCUCCCCCUGCUCCUGACCAAGUCCGCUUUCCGGGGGAGGGGGGAUGCUCUCUGGGUGAGUUCUGCCCAGAAGGGGCCUCUCCCAGCGUCCGGGCUCCUCUGACGGCUCUGCCAUAGGAGGGAAUGGGGACACUCCAUGCUGCUCUGCAACGCCAGCUCCGUGUUUGCGGGAAGGGCAAAGGAUGCAGCCAUCCGCUGUCCUCUGCCCUCCGCUUGCCCGCUCUGCAGAGCACAUAGCCCUGCUCGCGCCCAGGCUUCUUUCGGGAGAAUUCCGGGCGCGGCCCUGCAGAGCCGCGGGGGAGCGACAGCAGCGAACGAGAGUGGAGGGGAGCGACCCACCCCUGCGCCACCUGCCCUCAGCAGGGUGGGCACAAACAAGGAGGGAGAAAGCGGAGCGUGGUCAGCACUUGUGCAAACCGAGCCUUUUCUGGGGGCGGGAGGCGGAUUCUGAUGAAGGUUUGCAGAGAUGUGGCCUCAGCAGCAGAGCAGCAGCAAUGUGGGCUGGUUUUAAGAAGCACUAAAUCUCCGUGUCAGCUGGAAGCCCGCUCCUCUGCCGCGGGCUGGACGGCCCCGCGUGGGCGGCGCGGCUCCUGGCGGCGGCCCCGGCGUGGGCGGUGUUCUCCCAACGGAGUUCAGGGCCCCGCCGGGUCACCCACCCGGACUCGGUCCCUCCUCCCCGGGACGGCUGCGCCCCGUGCCUGGGAGGACACACGCCGCGCACACAGACACCACACACACGCACGACACCACACAUCCCACA